GAGUGAACGCUGGCGGUAGGCCUAACACAUGCAAGUCGAACGGCAGCACAGUAAGAGCUUGCUCUUACGGGUGGCGAGUGGCGGACGGGUGAGGAAUACAUCGGAAUCUACUUUUUCGUGGGGGAUAACGUAGGGAAACUUACGCUAAUACCGCAUACGACCUACGGGUGAAAGCAGGGGAUCUUCGGACCUUGCGCGAUUGAAUGAGCCGAUGUCGGAUUAGCUAGUUGGCGGGGUAAAGGCCCACCAAGGCGACGAUCCGUAGCUGGUCUGAGAGGAUGAUCAGCCACACUGGAACUGAGACACGGUCCAGACUCCUACGGGAGGCAGCAGUGGGGAAUAUUGGACAAUGGGCGCAAGCCUGAUCCAGCCAUACCGCGUGGGUGAAGAAGGCCUUCGGGUUGUAAAGCCCUUUUGUUGGGAAAGAAAAGCAGCAGGUUAAUAUCCCGCUGUUCUGACGGUACCCAAAGAAUAAGCACCGGCUAACUUCGUG
rnacentral:rRNA from 1 species